UGGGGAAUAUUGCACAAUGGGCGCAAGCCUGAUGCAGCCAUGCCGCGUGUGUGAAGAAGGCCUUCGGGUUGUAAAGCACUUUCAGCGAGGAGGAAGGUGGUGAACUUAAUACGUUCAUCAAUUGACGUUACUCGCAGAAGAAGCACCGGCUAACUCCGUGCCAGCAGCCGCGGUAAUACAGGAGGGUGCAAGCGUUAAUCGGAAUUACUGGGCGUAAAGCGCACGCAGGCGGUUUGUUAAGUCAGAUGUGAAAUCCCCGGGCUCAACCUGGGAACUGCAUUUGAAACUGGCAAGCUAGAGUCUCGUAGAGGGGGGUAGAAUUCCAGGUGUAGCGGUGAAAUGCGUAGAGAUCUGGAGGAAUACCGGUGGCGAAGGCGGCCCCCUGGACGAAGACUGACGCUCAGGUGCGAAAAGCGUGGGGAGCAAAACAGGAUUAGAUACCCUGGUAGUCCACGCUGUAAAACGAUGUCGAUUUUGGAGGUUGUGCCCUUGAGGCGUGGCUUCCGGAGCUAACGCGUUAAAUCGACCGCCUGGGGAGUACGGCCGCAAGGUUAAAACUC
rnacentral:rRNA from 1 species